rnacentral:rRNA from 1 species
CCUACGGGUGGCUGCAGUGAGGAAUAUUGGUCAAUGGGCGAGAGCCUGAACCAGCCAAGUCGCGUGAAGGAUGACGGCCCUACGGGGUGUAAACUUCUGUUGUCAGGGAGCAAGUGAGUCCACGUGUGGGCUUAGCGAGAGGACCUGAAGAAAAAGCAGCGGCUAACUCCGUGCCAGCAGCCGCGGUAAUACGGAGGAUGCGAGCGUUAUCCGGAUUUAUUGGGUUUAAAGGGUGCGUAGGCGGAAUAUCAAGUCAGCGGUAACAAUUCGGGGCUCAACCCCGGCCCGCCGUUGAAACUGGCAGUCUCGAGUUGGCGAGCAGUAUGCGGAAUGCGCGGUGUAGCGGUGAACUGCAU